GACGAACGCUGGCGGCAUGCCUAAUGCAUGCAAGUCGAACGAACCAUCCUGAAGAUUGAAGCUUGCUUCAUGAUUCAGACCUUGGUGAGUGGCGGACGGGUGAGUAACACGUGGGUAACCUGCCCAAAAGUGGGGGAUAACAUCUGGAAACAGGUGCUAAUACCGCAUAACAACUACUUUCUCAUGAUCGUAGCUUGAAAGAUGGCUCUGCUAUCGCUUUUGGAUGGACCCGCGGCGUAUUAGCUAGUUGGUGAGGUAAUAGCUCACCAAGGCAAUGAUACGUAGCCGACCUGAGAGGGUAAUCGGCCACAUUGGGACUGAGACACGGCCCAAACUCCUACGGGAGGCAGCAGUAGGGAAUCUUCCACAAUGGGCGAAAGCCUGAUGGAGCAAUGCCGCGUGAGUGAAGAAGGUUUUCGGAUCGUAAAACUCUGUUGUUGAAGAAGAACAUGCGUGAGAGUAACUGUUCACGUACUGACGGUAUUCAACCAGAAAGCCACGGCUAACUACGUGCCAGCAGCCGCGGUAAUACGUAGGUGGCAAGCGUUGUCCGGAUUUAUUGGGCGUAAAGAGAAUGUAGGCGGUUUAUUAAGUUUGAAGUGAAAGCCCUCGGCUCAACCGAGGAAGUGCUUCGAAAACUGGUAAACUUGAGUGCAGAAGAGGAAAGUGGAACUCCAUGUGUAGCGGUGGAAUGCGUAGAUAUAUGGAAGAACACCAGUGGCGAAGGCGGCUUUCUGGUCUGUAACUGACGCUGAGAUUCGAAAGCAUGGGUAGCAAACAGGAUUAGAUACCCUGGUAGUCCAUGCCGUAAACGAUGAGUGCUAAGUGUUGGAGGGUUUCCGCCCUUCAGUGCUGCAGCUAACGCAUUAAGCACUCCGCCUGGGGAGUACGAUCGCAAGAUUGAAACUCAAAGGAAUUGACGGGGGCCCGCACAAGCGGUGGAGCAUGUGGUUUAAUUCGAAGCAACGCGAAGAACCUUACCAGGUCUUGACAUACCAUGAAAAGCUAAGAGAUUAGUCUUUCCCUUCGGGGACAUGGAUACAGGUGGUGCAUGGUUGUCGUCAGCUCGUGUCGUGAGAUGUUGGGUUAAGUCCCGCAACGAGCGCAACCCUUAUUAUCAGUUGCCAGCAUUCAGUUGGGCACUCUGGUGAGACUGCCGGUGACAAACCGGAGGAAGGUGGGGACGACGUCAAAUCAUCAUGCCCCUUAUGACCUGGGCUACACACGUGCUACAAUGGUCGGUACAACGUGCUGCGAACUCGCGAGGGUAAGCAAAUCACUUAAAACCGAUCUCAGUUCGGAUUGUAGGCUGCAACUCGCCUACAUGAAGCUGGAAUCGCUAGUAAUCGCGGAUCAGCAUGCCGCGGUGAAUACGUUCCCGGGCCUUGUACACACCGCCCGUCACACCAUGAGAGUUUGUAACACCCAAAGUCGGUGGGGUAACCCUUCGGGGAACUAGCCGCCUAAGGUGGGACAAAUGAUUAGGGUG
rnacentral:rRNA from 1 species